CAUAUAAUUAUGACAAUUAUAUUUCCAAGAUAUUCUGGGAUCUUUACAGUUUCAUAAUUUUGCUCUUUUUACUAUACAACACUCCUUUUAUUGAAACAAAUACAGAUUUUGGAGUCAGACAGACCUAGUCUGGAUUUGAAUUCCAGCUCUCCUUCUUACCAGCCUGGGGCCAUGGAGAAUGUUGUCCAUUUCCCUGAGCCUCAGUGUUCUCUGUAAAAUGUGGAUGAUACCUGACUCCCAGGCAUUUUGCCAGGAUUACAUGGGAUUCCUACACAGUGCAAUGUCUAGUGAUAAUAUAAAUGCUAAAAGCAACUUGUUAAAUGUAUAAAUAAAUGUGAUUUAUUUUUGCUCCUUUACAUACAGUAUCAUGGAUAUAAUUUGUAGAUGUGUGUACUGUGAAUACAAUGGCCACUUCUCUUGCUCCCA
rnacentral:lncRNA from 1 species